UGCCAGCAGCCGCGGUAAUACGGAGGGUGCAAGCGUUGUUCGGAUUUACUGGGCGUAAAGGGCGUGUAGGCGGUUCGUUAAGUCUGAUGUGAAAGCCCGGGGCUCAACCCCGGAAGUGCAUUGGAAACUGGCGAACUUGAGUACGGGAGAGGAAAGUGGAAUUCCGAGUGUAGGGGUGAAAUCCGUAGAUAUUCGGAGGAACACCAGUGGCGAAGGCGGCUCACUGGCUCGAUACUGACGCUGAGGUGCGAAAGUGCCGGCAGCUAACAGGAUUAGAUA
rnacentral:rRNA from 1 species